AUUGAACGCUGGCGGCAGGCCUAACAAAUGAACGCCGAAUGAGAGGCGACCGGGUGAGUAAUGUCUAGGAAACUGCUUGAGGGAGGGGUAGAACUACUGGAAACGGUAGCUAAUAACGCAUACCAUCGGAUGUGUCCAGUUGGGAUUAGGUAGGAGUUGGGGUAAGGGCUAACAUAGGCGACGAUCCCUAGCUGGGCUGCGAGGAUGACCAGCCACACUGGAACGUAGACACGGUCCAGACUCCUACGGGAGGCAGCAGUGGGGAAUAGUGCACAAUGGGCGCAAGCCUGAGGCAGCGAUGCCGCGUGUAUGAAGAAGGCCUUCGGGUUGUAAAGUACUUUCAGCGGGGAGGCGUUACCCGCAGAAGAAGCACCGGCUAACUCCGUGCCAGCCGCCGCGGUAAUAC
rnacentral:rRNA from 1 species